GGCACUUGGAGAAGAAUUGCGUCCAACGGGUGAAAGAAACAGAAUUUUGCAAGGUUUUCAGGAAAGCAAUUUAUGCAAAAUUUGAAAUCAACGACUUUGAGGAGUAUUGGAAGGCAUCGGUUGAGUGCUUAGCCUUGGGUUCAGUCCACGCAUGAAACUAGAGAAAGUUGGGCAAUGGCGUAUCUUAGGGGCACCUUUUGUGCGGUAUAUCGGACAACUUCAAGAUGUGAAGGGAUCAAUGCUUUCAGGGCAUUCAAUCGAAGAAUGGCAACUCUGGUGACACUGUUUUAACGCAUGCAUAUGGGAAUACACCGUCGAUCACUCAUGGGUGUAGUAAUCCAUUUUGCCGCAACCCCAUGGGUGUCUGGGGGUGGGGACUAAUUUCUUCCUCCACGGGCAACACAUCGAGAAAUUUUAUGCCUCUACCUUUCAGAGUUGCUCAGGGCACAUAGGUGAGCCUUUCUGCACAUGCUAGUUGUCGUAAUCCCACUAGGUGGACAAAUGAAGAUUUGUUCGAGUAAUGACUAACACAGAAUGUCGUUGGUAGGUCUUCCUGCACCAGAAAACAUGAAAGUGUCCCCAAGCAAUGAUGUAGGAGAGUGCUGAGAGUCAAGCACCCGGUUGUGUGUCGUUCUCUACUGGUGUGUUGUUGCCACCGUAUCUAACGAGUACGCAUGAUGUAGAAGGGGCUCCGUUAGAAUCCCUAAUAACACUUUGUAUUUUGUGCUUUCUAUAUUAUGAUGCGGGAGCAAUUUCAGCUGUUGGAAUGUGUAUGGUGACCAUGUGAACUUUAUGUUUUUGGGUUAUCUAUAGUCUGGAUCAAAUUUGGCUUGGUUGGGGAGUUGACCCACAUUUUCUGCUGACUAAAGAAAUACAUCGGAGUCUUUGUGUA